GAUGAACGCUGGCGGCGUGCCUAAUACAUGCAAGUCGAGCGAACGGACGAGAAGCUUGCUUCUCUGAUGUUAGCGGCGGACGGGUGAGUAACACGUGGAUAACCUACCUAUAAGACUGGGAUAACUUCGGGAAACCGGAGCUAAUACCGGAUAAUAUUUUGAACCGCAUGGUUCAAAAGUGAAAGACGGUCUUGCUGUCACUUAUAGAUGGAUCCGCGCUGCAUUAGCUAGUUGGUAAGGUAACGGCUUACCAAGGCAACGAUGCAUAGCCGACCUGAGAGGGUUGACCGGCCACCCGGAACUGAGGCACGGGCCCGAACCCUACGGGAGGCAGCAGUAGGGAAUCUUCCGCAAUGGGCGAAAGCCUGACGGAGCAACGCCGCGUGAGUGAUGAAGGUCUUCGGAUCGUAAAACUCUGUUAUUAGGGAAGAACAUAUGUGUAAGUAACUGUGCACAUCUUGACGGUACCUAAUCAGAAAGCCACGGCUAACUACGUG
rnacentral:rRNA from 1 species